UACGGGGGGGGCAAGCGUUGUUCGGAAUUACUGGGCGUAAAGCGCGCGUAGGCGGCUUUGUAAGUUAGAGGUGAAAGCCCGGAGCUCAACUCCGGAACUGCCUUUAAGACUGCAUCGCUUGAAUCCGGGAGAGGUGAGUGGAAUUCCGAGUGUAGAGGUGAAAUUCGUAGAUAUUCGGAAGAACACCAGUGGCGAAGGCGGCUCACUGGACCGGCAUUGACGCUGAGGUGCGAAAGCGUGGGGAGCAAACAGG
rnacentral:rRNA from 1 species